GCUCUUUUGCUUCCCAGGCUGUGAGGACGGAAUACAAUGGGUUCACAGCCUUCAGACUUUUUGAAAGGAGUGAACAGUGCUGAAAAGGUUCAGCAGAUCUUGAUGUGGGAGAAGUGCAAGUUUUCAGUAGUGCACCUCCCUGCCGGAGCUGCUGUAGUGGAGGUAGGGUUGACAAAACCAGCCUAGAUCAGAUCUGUGCCCAUUUUGAGACCAGCAGGAGAUGCUGCAGGGGACAAUUCCUACCAGAAGUCUGCUCCCACUGUAGGUGGGAGCCUGAUGGCGUAGGAGAGCCACAAUCCAUAAUGUUCAAGUGCUUUCCAGAGCCAAUCACAAGUCCCUACAUUCACAAUAUCCUCGGUUUAGCUGGCCCACUCCUGGAACUGGCUCAGACUGGCCCAAGAGGCAAUUUUUUCCCUUACGUUUUCAUUCUCAGCAUCCUGAGUUGCAACUUUUCAGGCGCUCCUUCUGCCUGACCACCAUCCCAUGAAGGUCCACCAUUGCCACAACCCCAAUGAUGUCAGGCUUUCCCUAUUCAAACAACUCUUAAGAUCUCCAGUUACAGUGGAGGAGCACCUUCCUUCCUGGGAAGGAUAGAGGCAGCAAGCUUCAUCCUCCUCCCAUUGCCUUCCUGUGGGAUUUCUGCCCACCCUGUCUUAUAGGGGCACAUGGGCAGAAGAACAUCUCAAGCAGUUUCCAAUGGCAGACCCAAUGCCUGGGGCCAGGCUGCCUCUCUUUGUGUAUGUGAGGGUCUCUGGAAUCUCCUAGAUUGGGGAAAACAUACCAAGAUUGGGACUCGGGUAAACAGCCCCUCAUGCUAUAUUUGGGUGCUGAUAAUGCAAACCACAGACAAACAAUAGAACAAGGACAAAUCUGUUGUCAGUAAACCAUGCAGGCAUUCAGGUCUUAAUUCUUCUUUUUGGUUUAGACUCAUUAAUGUCCAUUUUGCUGUUGAACGGGUAAUCCCAUCUCAACUCAGACAGGCCAUCCUACCCCUCCCGUCUACUAACACCAAUGCUCACACACACAAAAAAGGGAAAGUCACAACCUGGAGUUGGUGUGCUGCACACAGAGCACAGCCAGCAGCUUGCAGAGCAAAUUUUGGAAAGGUGGGAGCUGCCUGGAUUUCGAGUAACAGCCCAGUAAUGUUCUGAUGCUGACAUCACCUGGGAGGAUGGAUUAGCAACCCCAGUUACAAAGUGGGUCUAGCCUUUAUCCGAAAAAAAGAAGCUAGAGAAGUUCCAGAGCUGCUUCAGAAAAAGAAGGAUCCCCCUAAAUACCGGGGUCUCAACCACUGAUGCUACCAAUAUUGGAAGGACAAAUGGUUGACUUCCAAAAUGUCCA
ensembl:lncRNA